GAGAGAGAGAGAGAGAGAGAGAGACGGGGGGGGUGGGGCACAUGCCCAGGAACACCCACAAGGAGUGUAAUCUAUUACCGAGAGGUCAUGUUUCCUCCACAUGCCUACAACCUGUGGGUUUGUAGCUAAAAUUAGGACUCGCCUUCCCUCUGCUACCUGAGACUCCCGCCAUCCCAAGCUGGGGAGGGUUCACAUUCCUGUCUCCCCCGCCUCUCCACCCAGGAGAGGGAGGGGACUCAUGGAUUCGUUGGGCAGGGAGGGACAGUCUAUCAGAGGCUUGACCUGAAAUGGUCAGGGAAGGCUUGCAGGCAGACAUGGGGUCUGAACUAGACUGUGAAAGACAAGUGGGAUUUAGAGAAGCUGGAGAGGCAGUGGGGAGUGUGAACAACGCAAGGAAAAGACAUGGAUCCAGCGCCCAGCACAGAGUGCACAGUGAGGAAGGUCCAUGGGAGCUAUGGAGAUGGAAGCUCCUCCAUUUGGCUGUCUGUACAUCCAAUCUGUUACUUGUGACUGCCGCGUGCAGGGAGGCAUCACACAUAUCUGAGGAUAGAACAGGGAACCUGGUGGCCAGCACACAGGACCCGUGAGCACCCAGCGGAGGGGUGGGAGUGGUAAGUUAUCUGAAAGGGCGCAGCCGGAAGCCUUUGGACAUUAGAUUUGUCUCAUCUGAUCUCCAGGAGGGUGCAGCUCCUUAGCCGCAUUACCAAAUGGCUGCUGUGGCUGCCAUGUGCCCAAGUCCAUCUAAUUAAGCUUGGAUUAAUUUCAGAGGCGUUGGCCUUCUGACCCCAGGGUGUGGGGCAGAGAAGGCCUGGCGCUGGGUCCACGUCCAAGCAUCCAGGAGGGCCUCACAGGCCAGGAGCUGCCUGGCAGGGUGCGCAUAGAAGAAGGUCACGCCUCAGUCCCUAGUGCCCACCUGCCAAGGGCCCAACAGGAGUAGGGGACAGAGUACUGAUCAAGUGCUGACUCUGCCCUGACUGGCUUCAGGAGGGGAGGGCGCGGAGUGGGCCUCACGGCUGAGGAGACCUUCCCUUGUAGAACUCGCUUCCUCAGCCCUAGGGGCCCCCAGAGGCACCACGGGGAGGUAGCCGGCCCUCCAGUCCCUCCCCAGUCUGAGCACUUGAGUGAGAGCGUUGGAAGAAAGGGUUCUGCUGCCAUUUGAAAAUCACUCCAAGGCAUCGCCUGGUCUUAGAUGAAAUGCAUCUGGGCCUCGACAUCUUCAGGAAAUGAGUUUGAGCCCCUUUCCUCCUGAGCGGGCACUUUGGUCGUGUGCAGACCUGAGCGCCGGGGGUGGGGCUGCCAGACAAGAGGGAAAAGGGGAGAAGGGGACGCCUGUGAAGAACUCUGCCUCCUUCACCGUUCCCCCCACCCCUCCCGCCCCAGCCCAGGUCGCUCCUCUGGUUCCAGUCUUCCCACCUGUUCCGGCUGACAAGGGAAGACUGUCUGUGGGCUCUCCCCACUCCUGGGACAGCCCCCAGCUGCCCCCAGAAGGGAUGGGCAUGGAUGACACAGAGACUCAUCCCCCAAACCCAUCUCCCCAGCUUCAGACAACAGAGGGUGGUCCCAGCAGAGCUGAAAGGAGAUUCCAGCUGGACUGGAUUUCAGGAUGAGCCUCUGGCCUCUGGCCUUUGGCAUCUUGCCUCCUGCCUCCUCGAUGUGAAGGAGAGAGAAGAGCCCGCCACGUACACCUUCCUCUUCACCCGUGGCUGAUGUCAACGGAGGAAAUUUAUGUUAGCGCCGCUAACAUUUUUGAGUGGUAUGUGUCUAAUUCUUUAGGUGCUAAGUGCUUUAUGUGCAUUAUCACAUUUAAGGUAAGGUGCUUCGAUUAUUUCCAUUUUUUAGAUAAGCAGGCAGAUUCCAAGGUCAAGCGACUUGCCAGGGUCAAAUGGCUAGCGAGGAGGUGGGUCAGCCGUUCACCCCAGGCGGUCUGGCUUUCAGCUCUACUCCGUGCUCCUCUAGGGGCGGGUGGCUCCAUCCAGUGGAGAGCAGGUCUGGGCCCCCGCAGCCUCCCAUUUACGAGUCCCUCAGGCCAUGGUUCUCAUCCGGAAAGUGGGUGGGUAUCAGAUUUGCCUGCGAACUUUUCCAAAAUGUCCCUGUCCUCUCCCUUCUCCGGCUUGUAUCAGGAUAGGCUUGUGUGAGGUGCACAGCACAUAAGUGGCAAAAGCUCCCCUAGUGAUUCCAGUGCUGUCCCUGCCAAUCCCCAGGCCUGCUGCCCGGGGACCUGUGCCCAUCAGGCCCCUGGGAGAAGCAGCCUCAAUCCCAUCUCAUGUUUUGAAAGAGCCCCAAGGCUGCUGCAGCUUCUUGCCCCUUUCCCAUAGACCAGAGGUUCUGCCCACUUCCAAGCCGGGCAGAAGUGUGCAGAUGUGACCACAUAAUCACACAUGCCCAGCACCAAGAAGCAUGGGGCAGGGGGUGCAGAGAAAGAGGAUUCAGCCUGCAGAGAUUUAACUUCUGGCCCCCAUGCCUAGCCCAGCGCUCCCCUCACCUCACCAAGCCCAGCCCAUGGACUGGAGUUAUUCCACCUACUUGUGCGUAAAUGUGAACAUUUCCGUAACUAACAAUUGGGUUUUAUUCCGAAUGGUUUGCAGUAAGGAUCAGAUGAAAUACUGGAUGUCAUGUGCUUUGCCUGUGCAGGCAUGAGGCCUGAUGGCCGGAUUAUCUAGCUCAUCUCUUAAUUCUCCCUGGAAGAGUGUCUGGUGGAAGCUCAGGGCAACAACCCUCACUGGGAGGAAAGACACGGAGGCCCAACGAGAGUCACAAAGUCAUGCAUCUGUGGGGCAGGGACAGAGGGGCCUGAAGCUUACACAGGGUGGUUAUUUUAUUUGUUUGUACGUUUGUUUUGGUUGAAGGGGGGGCUCUGUAAGAAAAAGAAUACAAAAUAACAAAAGCACAAUUAAAAUGAGUACAAACCUGAAAAUUUACCUAGAAUGAGGAAAAAAGCAUACUAAAUUACAAAUAUUAAAAAGCCAAGAGGGGACUUCCCUGGCGAUCCAGUGGUUAAGACUCCAUGCUUCCACUGCAGGGGACAUGGGUUCGAUCCCUGGUUGGGGAACUAAGAUCCCGCAUGCCACACGGUGCAGCCAAAAAAGAAAAAGGA